GAUGAACGCUGGCGGCGUGUUUAACACAUGCAAGUCGAACGAAGCACUUUUGAUUGAUUUCCUCGGAAAGAUUUCACUUGUGACUGAGUGGCGGACGGGUGAGUAACGCGUGGGUAACCUGCCUCAUACAGGGGGAUAACAGUUAGAAAUGACUGCUAAUACCGCAUAAGCGCACGGUAUCGCAUGAUACAGUGUGAAAAACUCCGGUGGUAUGAGAUGGACCCGCGUCUGAUUAGUUAGUUGGUGAGGUAACGGCCCACCAAGGCGACGAUCAGUAGCCGACCUGAGAGGGUGACCGGCCACAUUGGGACUGAGACACGGCCCAAACUCCUACGGGAGGCAGCAGUGGGGAAUAUUGAACAAUGGGCGAAAGCCUGAUGCAGCGACGCCGCGUGAACGAAGAAGUAUUUCGGUAUGUAAAGUUCUAUCAGCAGGGAAGAUAAUGACGGUACCCGACUAAGAAGCACCGGCUAAAUACGUGCCAGCAGCCGCUGUAAUAC
rnacentral:rRNA from 1 species